ACGGCCCAGUGUCAAGUGCAGCUCAAAUCUUUUUUUUUUUUUUCUGAGACAGGGUCUCACCUUGUCACCCAGGCUGGAGUGCAGAGGCACCAUCACGGCUCACUGCAGCUUCCACUUCCCGGGCUCAAGUGAUCCUCCCAUCUCAGCCUCCUGAGCAGCUGGGACUAUAGGAGAUAGUACAGCACGUUUGUAUGCUGAUGGUAAUGAUUAAGUAAAGAAUGAGAACUGGAUGAUUCAGAAGAAAGAGGGCAUACCUUGAGGAGUGAAACCCUGCAACCUGUUUUCAAGAGAGCAGGAAGCCAAGCCACCAGGCAGAACUGAUAGUAUGGGAAGUGGGUUCCCACCAGUCGCAUGCAGCUGCUCUGGUAUGGCCAUGGUGCUGGGGAUGAGUCAGAAAUCUCAGGUAGGUACAACAGAGGAACAGGC